rnacentral:lncRNA from 1 species
CAGCGAUGCCAAGCAGCUUUCGGCCCCUGAUGGAGGAGUCCAAGUGUUCAGCAAAAAGGGACAAAAACUGAAGCUCCCGCGGAGCCAACACUGAUCCUGUUCCAGCCACACUGAUCCUGUUCCAGCCACACUGAUCGUGCUCCAGCCAGGCUGUUCUCCUUCCCCACGGCCCUGCUGAGAGCUGAGCACCUCGGGCAGGAGCUCAGGGGCUGACCUGCAGGAGGAGAGCUGUUCCUCACCAGCCGUGCCCACCACCUUCCUUCAAGCGUGCCAGGGCUGCAAACCCAACACAGUUCACCUCAUCUGACCUCAGGAUCUUCAGGGUAAUGGCAGAAGAUGAUGAUGAUAAUAUCCUGCUGUUCCACGGUGCCACUUUGAGACUCCACGAGCCCUUCAGCAACAUUCACUUUUCAAGGCCUGCAAGCCAUCUAAAGGCUUCAGUGAAAAACCAGCUUGUUUUAACAAGUGACAUGAGCCCUGGUGCUGCAAGCAUGACCUCAGGAGAGCAGCCUGUGAAGAGAGCUGUCACUGGGGACACUGCUGGGCACACAGACGGCAAGAACAGAAAGCCUAAACCCAUGUAA